rnacentral:rRNA from 1 species
GACGAACGCUGGCGGCGUGCUUAACACAUGCAAGUCGAACGGAAAGGCCCUGCUUUUGUGGGGUGCUCGAGUGGCGAACGGGUGAGUAACACGUGAGUAACUUGCCCUUGACUUUGGGAUAACUUCAGGAAACUGGGGCUAAUACCGGAUAGGAGCUCCUGCUGCAUGGUGGGGGUUGGAAAGUUUCGGCGGUUGGGGAUGGACUCGCGGCUUAUCAGCUUGUUGGUGGGGUAGUGGCUUACCAAGGCUUUGACGGGUAGCCGGCCUGAGAGGGUGACCGGCCACAUUGGGACUGAGAUACGGCCCAGACGCCUACGGGAGGCAGAAGUGGGGAAUAUUGCACAAUGGGCGGAAGCCUGAUGCAGCAACGCCGCGGGCGGGAUGACGGCCUUCGGGUUGUAAACCGCUUUCGCCUGUGACGAAGCGGGAGUGACGGUAAUGGGUAAAGAAGCACCGGCUAACUACGUG